CUCAAAAAAUCUGACUCCCUGAUGGACAUUGUUUAGUUACCAUUUUUUUAAAAAAGAUGUUUGUUCAUUGCUAAUGGGAAAUUUUGUGUUUUCAGUGUCUGUAGCAGCAAAAAGUCCCAGGAGCUAAGGCACAGCUACAGCUGGAGCUAAGAUCCAUUCAUUCAUCAUUGUCACUUCAUGAAUUAGAAGCCAGCAGACCAUUUCUCUCACUUUACUUCAGCUACUUUUCAGAAUGAGAUGGUGGCUUAGGAGGAUCAUUGCAAAACACAGCUUCCCUUUGACAAUCAGCGAAUGCUGCAUCAUCCUAGAAGAUGGAGACAGCAGGGGGUAGCAGAGUGAAGUUCAAGAAACUACAGCACACAUAUGAGAAUCAAAUCCUAUCUCUUGGACCUGUUAGUGGGACA